ensembl:lncRNA
AGCAUUUCUGACAAAAACGGGUAUUUUCCUAUCUGAACACACUGCGCUCUUUGGAACAUCCUCAGUUCUUUUUUUAUUCUGGCAAUGCUAGAGUUCCACCUUCAUCUCCUAGCUCUGCCUCUGACUCUCUGAUGGACCCUGUCUGUGACAAACGGAGCCACUUCCUUGCAAGCAUACAGGUGCCAAAAGAUUCUCAACCACCCCAGCUUCCCUAUGCCUAAUUCUUACUGAGGCAAAUGGAAAUUCGAAAGGCUUACAAGCUGGAAUUUGCAUGCUACAGAUGUUGAAUGUUUUGGUGUUGGUUUUGUCUUUGAGCCUCCAGCUCGCAGCAGGCCCUGCUGGGGUCCCCUGUGGAGCAGGCAAGGAGGUUCCUCACAACAUCCCUCUGGCUGCCUGCUGCCCCUUCCCUUCCCAGACCUCUUCUGGUGUAGGAGAGGAAAGUAAGGGAACUCAGAGAACAGCAAGCACUCUUCAGAGGCACCAUUCCCUUAUGUGCAUUACCUGCAGGCUUCUGUUGCCGAAGCUUGGUUGCCAUUUUCAAUGCCAUUUUCAAUGACCAUACAAAACUCUCCCGUGCAUGAGAAGAGAUCUCUGAAAGUCCAGCCAGCUACAGCGAUCACGACUUGAAAAUCUUUUGAUAAAUACUAAUAUAUUUCUGCACACUGUUAAGCACAUCAGCAGCAGGGAAGAAAUGCAAGUAUACCUGUAGUUCUUGUGCUGUUUGUUACCUUUUUCUUUUUCCACUUCUCUCUUUUUUCUUAAUUAAUAUCAGUCAAAUCUGUUCCAUGCUUGGUUGUAGUUUAAACAUUGAGAUUUGCAGUGGUUUCCUACCACCGUUAGAUAAUAUUUUUCAUCUGAAAGCCACUGCUUUCAUUUAUGACUGUUGAAGUUGUGGCAACAUUUCUGUUAGUCUUGGGUUUUACAACGUUGUUCUAGUUAAAUGCAUGCAUGGGGUUGGAAUUAGGAGAACAUUGUUUCUUUAAUACAGAUAGAUAAAGAAAGCAGUGUAUUGUAUUUAUCAAAAGGAAAUGUCAGCAGAACUUUAUAGUCUGGUAAUUAGAUAACGCAGAUAAGUCUGCUGAGUUUGUGUGCUCACAACUGCCAUUCCAGAUAACACUUCCUGAAGAAAAUUGUAAGAAGAACUUAAACAACAUUACACGUUUUUCAUGGUUCCUUUCUUGAAGCUGAUAUGGAAAGUAAGAAAGAAAAUUAAGAUACAAGCUACAGCAAGCAUUAUA